UGGGGAAUCUUGGACAAUGGGGGCAACCCUGAUCCAGCCAUGCCGCGUGAGUGAUGAAGGCCUUAGGGUCGUAAAGCUCUUUCGCCUGUGAAGAUAAUGACGGUAGCAGGUAAAGAAACCCCGGCUAACUCCGUGCCAGCAGCCGCGGUAAUACGGAGGGGGUUAGCGUUGUUCGGAAUUACUGGGCGUAAAGCGCACGUAGGCGGACCAGAAAGUUGGGGGUGAAAUCCCGGGGGCUCAACCCCGGAACUGCCUCCAAAACUAUUGGUCUAGAGUUCGAGAGAGGUGAGUGGAAUUCCAAGUGUAGAGGUGAAAUUCGUAGAUAUUUGGAGGAACACCAGUGGCGAAGGCGGCUCACUGGCUCGAUACUGACGCUGAGGUGCGAAAGUGUGGGGAGCAAACAGGAUUAGAUACCCUGGUAGUCCACACCGUAAACGAUGAAUGCCAGUCGUCGGGUAGCAUGCUAUUCGGUGACACACCUAACGGAUUAAGCAUUCCGGCCUGGGGAGUACGGUCGCAAGAUUAAAA
rnacentral:rRNA from 1 species